GCCCGGUUAGCUCAGUCGGUAGACCACCAGGCUCCUAAUCUGGCUGUUGCGGCUUCCAACCCCGCAACGGGCU
rnacentral:tRNA from 1 species